UUGUGGCUUGUACUAAAGUGAGAUUGUAAAAUAUAACAAGUAUAGCAGUUUCUCUUUAACUACAUAAUAUAAUCAUUUUCUAUAACAGUCUAUUUGGACGAAAAAAGAGACAAAAAGCCAAAAUGCUGGAAAGUAAAUAAUUAUAUUCUUUCAGAGAGAAAAUAUUAAAUUAUUAUUUUAAAGUGAAGAGAAAUUUUUUAAAAAGAUUAUAUAAGAAAACCUUGAUAAGUUUAGGAAAUAAGUAUCAGGAAAAUAAAUUUGU
rnacentral:lncRNA from 1 species